AAAACCAGUUAAAAAAAAAAAUUUCAAAAAUCAAUGGAAAACCAUGAUUUGAACCUGACCAAAAAUUGAAUCGAACCAAACCACCCAAACCCUUCUAGAAUUUUCCCUUUUUCUUCAUAUUUCCAGCGCUGGCUCCAUUCUCCUCCCCCCCUAUCUGCGUUUUUUUUUUCAGUCGCCGGCAAACCACCUGCGCCGCCACCUCCUCCCU
rnacentral:lncRNA from 1 species